CAUCUAUUCCAAAUGAAUCUCGUGGUCAUACUGUAUCCAUAUCGUCCAUGCAAGUUCAACAAGUAUUUGAGAAUGUGGAAAUUCUAAUUUCCAAAUUCACGGAUGCUUCAACUCAGACAGAGUUAAAUUUGACAAAUUCAAUAAUUAUUAGUACAGAUAAAAAUCUUACACUUAGGGAAGAAGAAUCACCUUUACGUGAACAUACAAAUAUUGUUCAUGAAUCCACCCCAUUGCCUGAUUGUUCUCAAUUCCAAAAUCGGCACCAAAUUAAUCCAUUUAUAAGACUUCUUUCUCCUAUUGUAUUUGAAAAUGAAAAGAUCUCCCAGCCACCGGAAGAAGACGGUAAUAAUGAUGAUCUGGUUAGUGGGAUAUUUCCGUUGACAGGUGACUUCGAGGAUUCAUACAAUAUUAGCAGUCUGGCUGACGCAGGGGAAAUUCGUGAUUCAAGAGACCACACAUAUGACCCUUUGAUGAUAUGCAAUAUAAAAACAUCGUAAAAGACACGAAAUUGAUUGUGAACGAAAGUUGUCUCGAUGUACUGCUACGUCAGACAUUAUACCUGUGUGUAGGAGAAGUGCUGUCAAGCCAUGGAGUCAAGGGGAUCCGAUUAGACUCCAAGGAUGACAGUAAACUGUACCAGCGUGUCGGACAUGCCCGGGAAGGAACAACAAGUUUCCUGCCAGCCGUGGAGUCAAGGGGAUCCGAUUAGACUCCAAGGCUGACAGCCGAGGAACCACAUUGACGGACUUGCCCUCGAUCUACCAUAUCAUCCUUUUAAUUUGAAAUUUAUUUUAAUAAAAUUAUGCCAAUAUAUGUUUUUUAUGAGAAAUUGAUAUUUUUUAAAAAUUAAAUAAAAAAUAACAUAUUAUAUACAUUUUAUGGAUAUCCUUUGCAUAACUGUAAUGAAAUGUCAGAAAGCAAAACAUUUU